rnacentral:rRNA from 1 species
AAAGUUGAAGGACUCCGCUUCGGUGGAGAGCGUACACAGGUGCUGCAUGGCUGUCGUCAGCUCGUGUCGUGAGAUGUUGGGUUAAGUCCGCAACGAGCGCAACCCCUGCAUUCAGUUGCCAUCGGGUGAAGCCGGGCACUCUGGAAGGACUGCCAUCGACAAGAUGGAGGAAGGUGGGGACGACGUCAAGUCAUCAUGGCCCUUAUGUCCAGGGCGACACACGUGCUACAAUGGCCGGCACAGCGGGAAGCGGAGGGGCGACCCUGAGCGGAUCCCUUGAAAGCCGGUCCCAGUUCGGAUUGCAGUCUGCAACUCGACUGCAUGAAGUUGGAAUCGCUAGUAAUCGCGGAUCAGCCAAGCCGCGGUGAAUACGUUCCCGGGCCUU